rnacentral:tRNA from 2 species
GAGAAAUUAGCUCAGUUGGCAGAGCAUCUCCCUUUUAAGGAGAGGGUCGAGGGUUCGAACCCCUCAUUUCUCA